rnacentral:rRNA from 1 species
AUUGAACGCUGGCGGCAGGCCUAACACAUGCAAGUCGAGCGGAUGAAGGGUGCUUGCUCCUGGAUUCAGCGGCGGACGGGUGAGUAAUGCCUAGGAAUCUUCCUGGUAGUGUGGGAUAACGUCCGGAAACGGGCGCUAAUACCGCAUACGGCCUGAGGGAGAAAGUGGGGGAUCUUCGGACCUCACGCUAUCGGAUGAGCCUAGGUCGGAUUAGCUAGUUGGUGGGGUAAAGGCCUACCAAGGCGGCGAUCCGUAACUGGUCUGAGAGGAUGAUCAGUCACAGUGGAAGUGGACCACGGUCCAGACUCCUACGGGAGGCCGCAGUGGCGACUAUUGGACAAUGGGCGAAAGCCUGCUCCAGCCAUGCCGCGUGUGUGAAGAAGGUCUUCGGAUUGUAAAGCACUUUAAGUUGGGAGGAAGGGCAGUAAGUUAAUACCUUGCUGUUUUGACGUUACCAACAGAAUAAGCACCGGCUAACUUCGUG